UCAUAGUCAAAACUAAUUCUCGCAAGUCACAGAAGGAGAAAAUCAAAAUUUUAUGGAUACCACAGUACCUGGCAACAAGGUUUCUCAGGAGCUGGCCCGUGAGUUGCUUAUUGCUAUCUCACAGUGCAUACCAGAUACGGUUCUUGCUUCAAAACUUUCAUCUGAAUCAAAAGGCACAAAUGCAGUUGAACUGAAAGAGAGUGACACAGCUGAAAAGUAUAGGUCUAAGCUGAUCUCUAUUUCAUACGCAGAUACUAAAACCUCUCCAGCUGCAUUGGGGAACACUGAGGUUUAGCUGGGAUUAGUGUUCUCUUUGAUGGGAACUACUUGUAAUUUUAGAUUUUUGUCAUUUUUUGUUUCCUAGAACUAUUACUGUUGAGUGUAUGUUUCUAGUGUCAAUUUCUGCUUGAUGCUGUGUAUACUUCUAAUGUCAACAUAAUCAGAGAAAUAAAAGUUAAUUAAUCUUGUAUACUGUA